rnacentral:rRNA from 1 species
GACGAACGCUGGCGGCGUGCUUAACACAUGCAAGUCGAACGGAAAGGCCCUGCUUUUGUGGGGUGCUCGAGUGGCGAACGGGUGAGUAACACGUGAGUAACCUGCCCUUGACUUUGGGAUAACUUCAGGAAACUGGGGCUAAUACCGGAUAGGAGCUCCUGCUGCAUGGUGGGGGUUGGAAAGUUUCGGCGGUUGGGGAUGGACUCGCGGCUUAGCAGCUUGUUGGUGGGGUAGUGGCUUACCAAGGCUUUGACGGGUAGCCGGCCUGAGAGGGUGACCGGCCACAUUGGGACUGAGAUACGGACCAGACUCCUACGGGAGGCAGCAGUGGGGAAUAUUGCACAAUGGGCGGAAGCCUGAUGCAGAGACGCCGCGUGCGUGAUGACGGCCUUCGGGUUGUAAACCGCUUUCGCCUGUGACGAAGCGUGAGUGACGGUAAUGGGUAAAGAAGCACCGGCUAACUACGUG